UUAGCGCCAGGACUUAUUAUUAUUUUAAGUUGACGAGGUCUAGAGUUAUCGAAAGAUUCGGCGGAUGCUCUAGUGGUAUAUUACUACCAUAAACUAAAAGAAAAAAUAGUAGUAAUACUAUAACAA
rnacentral:ncRNA from 1 species